UAUCUGAUACGUGGGCCAUAGGUUCACAUGAUAUUAAAUUAAUUUUUUACAAAGGGAGGGUCCAUCACUAUAGCUUGCUAUUGGGACCUUCAUGAGUAGCCCAUGCGUUGCACUACUGCAAGGGCCUGGCUCACCCCAC